AGCUGAGGCCACCUCCGAUGGCUCUGCCACUGCCAGCACUGAAGCCACCUCCAAGGCCAUGGCUGCUGCUAUAGGAGUAGCUGCUGCCUCCACCCAGGCCUAAGCUGCUGCUGGCACCCCCGGCACUGCCAUAGCCGCUGGACACGGUGGACUGCACCACAGCUGUGAAGGAGGAAAAGGACACCACAGACAUGGUCAGCCCACUGUGACCAGAUAAUUAAGCCACAAAGUAAGGAGAAGGGGAUUCGGACAAGCAGAGUACUUACAGAUGUUGACUGGUCCAACACCUUCACCAUUCAACCUACAAGAGGAAAGCAACAGCAGCUUCCUGUAGGUGGCAAUUUCCACAUCCAGGGCCAGCUUGACAUUCAUGAGUUCCUGGUACUCCUUCAGCAGCCUGGCCAUGUCCUGUUUGGCCUUCUGCAGGGCAUCCUCCAGCCCUUCCAGCUUGCCCCUGGCAUCCUUCAGGGCCAUCUCCCCACGUUGCUCAGCAUCAGCAAUAGCAGCUUGCAGGUUGGCACACUGGGCAGAGAGAGCAACAAAAAUAAUCGUGGAGUGUACAUCUCUGCAGAGGCUGAGCCCCAGACCAUGGUUUCUGGUGAGCAAGAGUUAGAGGACAGGAAACACAACCCGCAACCCAUGCAUUUCUCUGUCUACCCCACCUGCUUCUUAACGUGGUCGAUCUCAGAUCUCAGCCUCUGGAUCAUGCGGUUGAUCUCAGCAAUCUCCUGCUUGGUGUUGCGUAGGUCGUCCCCAUGUCUGCCAGCUGUGACCUGCAGCUCCUCAUACUGAAGGCCAAUCAAAGAGAGGACAUCUAUGUGAGUUGUUACAUGCGGAAGCAAACCCACCUCUGAGUGGCACACACUUCCAUGGAUGUGCUGGCUUUUCCUCAAGAGAAGCUUUAGGAGACCACAGACUCCAUAGUUCCCUCAGGAAGUGAAAAUGUUCUCUAGUUUCUCAAGAGGAUCAUUGUUCAGAGUACAGCUCAAGCAAAGAGCAUGGACCCCAUUUAUGGCAACUUUGCAUCUACCUCUGUGUUCUUUUGCUCUUCGAAUAAAACAUUAUUCUAUGGUA